UGAUAGCUCACUCAGUAGAGCACAGGACUCUUGAUCUUGAGGUCGUGGGUUCAAGUCCCAUGUUGGGCAAAA